rnacentral:lncRNA from 1 species
GUCUAAGGGCUGUGGUUCAACAUUUGGUGAAGUCGAAGGCGGUGUCCGCCGCGCAAAGUUAUUGUUGCCAAUGUGCUGAAGAAAAUAAGAAAGGAGAUACUAAAUCAAAUUAUGUCCCAGUCAUAAUGAUGCCUAUCUAUCCAGCCGACGAUUGUCCGUUUGAUAUGGAAUGUGAAGUUAAAAAUUAAGGAAGCCGAAGAUAAACCGACAAAAAAAAUUGUAAAAGAGACCCAAGCCAAAGGUUCUGAAAAGGAGAAAGACAAGAAAAAGCUGAAAAAACGAGGCUUUGUCAUGCAAAGACUUACUGAUUUCGAUUUAUUGUCACAAUGGUAGAUUACAGUCGCUUCAAAUAAAGCUCUGACGUACAAGCCUUAUUUGAUGAUAUGAGUGAUAGUGAAUGUUAUGUACAAAGUCAUAAACGAUUGUCAAGUUAAAACUGUUUUUAUAUUUGGUAACAUUGAAUAUUAGAGAUAAAUAUAAGGAUCACUUUGGUA